UACGAAGGGUGCAAGCGUUACUCGGAAUUACUGGGCGUAAAGCGUGCGUAGGUGGUUUUUUAAGUCCGUUGUGAAAGCCCUGGGCUCAACCUGGGAAUGGCAGUGGAUACUGGAAAGCUAGAGUGCGGUAGAGGGUAGUGGAAUUCCCGGUGUAGCAGUGAAAUGCGUAGAGAUCGGGAGGAACACCAGUGGCGAAGGCGACUGUCUGGACAGAUACUGACGCUGAGGCGCGAAAGCGUGGGGAGCAAACAGG
rnacentral:rRNA from 1 species